rnacentral:rRNA from 1 species
CAUGCAUGUCUAAGUACUUGCUUUAACAAGGCGAAACCGCGAAUGGCUCAUUAAAUCAGUUAUGGUUCACUAGAUCGUAUAUCCUACACGGAUAACUGAGGUAAUUCUUCAGCUAAUACGUGCUACAAGCUCGUUCCCUUGUGGAGCGAGCGCAGUUAUUAGAACAAAACCAAUCCGGCCUUGUGUCGGUUAAAAUGGUGACUCUGAAUAACCGAAGCGGAGCGUAUGGUCUCGUACCGACGCCAGAUCUUUCAAGUGACUGCUCUAUCAGCUUGUUGUUAGGUUAUGCUCCUAACAAGGCUUCAACGGGUAACGGGGUAUCAGGGUCCGAUACCGGAGAGGGAGCCUGAGAAACGGCUACCACAUCCAAGGAAGGCAGCAGGCGCGCAAAUUACCCACUCCCAGCACGGGGAGGUAGUGACGAAAAAUAACGAUGCGAGGGCAUAUUGCUUCUCGUAAUCGGAAUGGGUACACUUUAAAUCCUUUAACGAGGAUCUAUUGGAGGGCAAGUCUGGUGCCAGCAGCCGCGGUAAUUCCAGCUCCAAUAGCGUAUAUUAAAGUUGCUGCGGUUAAAAAGCUCGUAGUUGAUCGUAGACGUAGGAUGGGUGGUGCGCCUAACGGCGCUACUGCUCGUUCCGACGUCAAAAGCCGGUCAUGUCUUGCAUAUCCUUCAUUGUAUGUGCUUGGCGGCCGGAGCGUUUACUUUGAAAAAAUUAGAGUGCUCAAAGCAGGCGUACGGCCUUGCAUAAUGGUGCAUGGAAUAAUGGAAUAGGACCUCGGUUCUAUUUUGUUGGUUAUCGGAGCUCGAGGUAAUGAUUAAGAGGAACAG